rnacentral:rRNA from 1 species
UACGUAGGUGACAAGCGUUGUCCGGAUUUACUGGGCGUAAAGAGCGCGCAGGCGGUCGAUCAAGUCGAGUGUGAAAGCCCCCGGCUCAACUGGGGAGGGUCAUUCGAUACUGAUCGACUCGAAGGCAGGAGAGGGUAGUGGAAUUCCCGGUGUAGUGGUGAAAUGCGUAGAUAUCGGUAGGAACACCAGUGGCGAAGGCGACUACCUGGCCUGUUCUUGACGCUGAGGCGCGAAAGCUAGGGGAGCAAACGGG